UUUGGUUGAAAAUCGGUUGGAGGGGAAAUUAAAUUUCAUUUCCCCUCCAACGCUGCCCCUCCUCUCUCUCUCUCUCUCUCUCUCUCUCCAACUUCCGUAUGAACCUGCCGUUGCCGCCGCUCGCUCGCUCACCGGUUGUGACCGACCCUCUCGGCGGUUGGCUUCUCUCUCGGUGGUCGGCCACCCUCCACCAGGCCAUCCUUCACUGGUGUUCCGUCUCCGACAGAUUUGGCGAUCAGAUCUAUCUCCAGCGAUGCUCUCUCUCUUUGUGGCCGAAUCUGUUGUAAUCCAACCUCCUAAUAUUGUUUAUUUCUGUGGAGUUUAGCUGGGUUACAAAGUCACUUAGACUUUCGGUGAAAUAAUGAGUUUCAAUGGAAAUAGUCAAGUUCCAAUGGACAUGUCCCCAAGCCACAUUUUGAAGGGUUCUGUUAAAUGAUGUUUGAUAUUUCUACUUCUUAAUGGACAUGCUCGUGGAAGCUUAUGGAAGCCCUGUGAAGAGGGAGUUGGCAUUACAAUUGUGCUGGGCCGUUGGGCCUAGAUGUAUGAAAACCUUUCAUAUAGUCUUCCAGGUCUAAGGCAGAAGCCAAAACAUGGAUUCGGCAUGAAAGUUUUCAGAAGGGUUAUGUGAUUUAUUCACUUAACACGACCUUCCUUCUCAGUACAUGCUAAAUUCAGUGCUAUCAAUUCCAUAGAAUGUGUUUUGUUAGAUAAAUGUACCAUAGAAGCAUUAAUUUUUUAUUUUUUAUUUUUAUUUUUUUUAUGAGAUAAAUAGCUUUCUUUAUCAUGUGCAUUGACCGUGGGUAAUUUUUUGAACAGACUCCAGAACCAGAAGGCAAAACAUGGGUGUAUAUUGAUGUAUAUUUGAUGUACAUUUUGAUAGGCAUUUUGAUGUAUAUUUGAUGUGAAUGUAUAUUUGAUGCUGAAUGUAUGUAUAUUUGUACAGUUUUGGUGCACAUGUGUAUUUGAUGUACUUUUUUAUGGGCAUUUUGAUGUAUAUUUGCCUUUCGAGGAGGUAUUUUCUUAACCCUUUCAAUGGUUGCAGUUUUUGUUUCAAAGCUUGUUUGAUCUAUGUUGAUAACACCACUGCUAUGAGAAUGGUGGAAGUUCCAUGCAUGGCCUAUUGUUUUGAGGAAACAUUUAUAUACACUGAACUUUGGGUUACAAUAUUUGAUUUAUUGU